rnacentral:rRNA from 1 species
AAUUGGUGUGAUUUUGAUUUAAAAUUUAAAUUUUGCCCAAUCCUAUCUGAUCUCGGAAGCUAAGCAGGGUUGGGCCUGGUUAGUAUUUGGAUGGGAGACCCUCUAGGAAGACCAGGUGCUGUAGGCG